rnacentral:lncRNA from 1 species
GUUGACAGCGGCCGUGUGUAACGGAGACUCAAAUACUGUCAUGUCGCAGGUCUACAGCAUACGUUUGGUGCACCCAAGGACGGAGCUCCCGGACAGCGAGAUACGCCGCGUGUGGUUCCUGUGCCGCCCUUGGGCUGAAGACAUCAUGAAAACACACAUGUUAUCUGCUAACACGUUGGACAGGAUCAAAUGCCCGGAAGAGUUGGCUGUGAUGGCACCCCGUCACAUAGCCCUCAUGGACCUGGAAGACAUGAGUGACAUGUGCUUAGACGGCUUUAACAUGGUGGACUUUUGGUUUCAUUGUAAACUGGAGUCGUUCAUGGCCGGAUGGGCUCGUUGGUACGUGCACGUGGAUCGGGUGACUGGUGUGGGAUGGGGUAUGACCCUGCUGCUAGAUGGCGAGGGCAAGACGGUGGCGGACGCGGAGGUCCUGUCGAGGAAGCUGUGGCUUGCUUACAAGACAUACUUUGAAUGGCAAUGGGUUGUCAAGCGACCUGGGCGGCCGGGGGAUACGCGUAAAGCCGACAUCAUGUAUGGGGAACACGAAUACGAAAACCGACGGGAUAAACUGCUGUGUGUCUCCAUCGAGGGCGAGCGAGGUGACUUUGGACGAGUGGUUGACAAUCGGAUGACCGCGAUGCCGCGUAUGGGCGAGGUUUAUCGGACCAAACGUCACGAAGGAGAGUGUCUUCUGUGGUGUCACACCAACGACGAUGAUGAUGAGAAGCGAAAGGCAUCGACGAUUAGGCUGUGGUACCCCGAACAGUAGAACGGGGGACCAAAGUAUGCACUGUAUUGUAUUGUGUCGGUUUGUUAUCAUACUGCUUGUAAUAAUAAACCUACGUGAAACGUUACGUGUUGUUGUCGUGUGUGGGACUCUCAUUUCAGUCUAGUCGUCCGCUCUUCCAACACCACAAACACUGACUUACUCCAUUGCAGUGAAACACGCACACCCCGCUUCUGCGUUUACCGUGCUGUACUUGUAUAUAUAAAAUCACACACAUUGCACAACUAUAAGUGAGAGACCUCUCAGUUACAGCGUUCGUUUCUCG